UACGAAGGGGACUAGCGUUGUUCGGAAUUACUGGGCGUAAAGCGCACGUAGGCGGAUUUGUAAGUCAGGGGUGAAAUCCCGGGGCUCAACCUCGGAACUGCCUUUGAUACUGCAAAUCUCGAGUCCGAUAGAGGUGGGUGGAAUUCCUAGUGUAGAGGUGAAAUUCGUAGAUAUCAGGAGGAACACCCAUGGCGAAGGCAGCAAACUGGGCAUCAUCUGACGCUGAGGCGCGAAAGCGUGGGGAGCAAACGGG
rnacentral:rRNA from 1 species